UACGGGAGGCAGCAGUGAGGAAUAUUGGUCAAUGGCCGAGAGGCUGAACCAGCCAUGCCGCGUGCGGGAGGACGGCCCUAUGGGUUGUAAACCGCUUUUGUUGGGGGGCAAUAAGGCGUACGUGUACGCCGAUGAGAGUACCCAGCGAAUAAGCAUCGGCUAACUCCGUGCCAGCAGCCGCGGUAAU
rnacentral:rRNA from 1 species